rnacentral:rRNA from 1 species
GAUGAACGCUGGCGGCGUGCCUAAUACAUGCAAGUCGAGCGAACGGACGAGAAGCUUGCUUCUCUGAUGUUAGCGGCGGACGGGUGAGUAACACGUGGAUAACCUACCUAUAAGACUGGGAUAACUUCGGGAAACCGGAGCUAAUACCGGAUAAUAUUUUGAACCGCAUGGUUCAAAAGUGAAAGACGGUCUUGCUGUCACUUAUAGAUGGAUCCGCGCUGCAUUAGCUAGUUGGUAAGGUAACGGCUUACCAAGGCAACGAUGCAUAGCCGACCUGAGAGGGUGAUCGGCCACACUGGAACUGAGACACGGUCCAGACUCCUACGGGAGGCAGCAGUAGGGAAUCUUACGCAAUGGGCGAAAGCCUGACGGAGCAACGCCGCGUGAGUGAUGAAGGUCUUCGGAUCGUAAAACUCUGUUAUUAGGGAAGAACAUAUGUGUAAGUAACUGUGCACAUCUUGACGGUACCUAAUCAGAAAGCCACGGCUAACUACGUGCCAGCAGCCGCGGUAAUACGUAGGUGGCAAGCGUUAUCCGGAAUUAUUGGGCGUAAAGCGCGCGUAGGCGGUUUUUUAAGUCUGAUGUGAAAGCCCACGGCUCAACCGUGGAGGGUCAUUGGAAACUGGAAAACUUGAGUGCAGAAGAGGAAAGUGGAAUUCCAUGUGUAGCGGUGAAAUGCGCGGAGAUAUGGAGGAACACCAGUGGCGAAGGCGACUUUCUGGUCUGUAACUGACGCUGAUGUGCGAAAGCGUGGGGAUCAAACAGGAUUAGAUACCCUGGUAGUCCACGCCGUAAACGAUGAGUGCUAAGUGUUAGGGGGUUUCCGCCCCUUAGUGCUGCAGCUAACGCAUUAAGCACUCCGCCUGGGGAGUACGACCGCAAGGUUGAAACUCAAAGGAAUUGACGGGGACCCGCACAAGCGGUGGAGCAUGUGGUUUAAUUCGAAGCAACGCGAAGAACCUUACCAAAUCUUGACAUCCUUUGACAACUCUAGAGAUAGAGCCUUCCCCUUCGGGGGACAAAGUGACAGGUGGUGCAUGGUUGUCGUCAGCUCGUGUCGUGAGAUGUUGGGUUAAGUCCCGCAACGAGCGCAACCCUUAAGCUUAGUUGCCAUCAUUAAGUUGGGCACUCUAAGUUGACUGCCGGUGACAAACCGGAGGAAGGUGGGGAUGACGUCAAAUCAUCAUGCCCCUUAUGAUUUGGGCUACACACGUGCUACAAUGGACAAUACAAAGGGCAGCGAAACCGCGAGGUCAAGCAAAUCCCAUAAAGUUGUUCUCAGUUCGGAUUGUAGUCUGCAACUCGACUACAUGAAGCUGGAAUCGCUAGUAAUCGUAGAUCAGCAUGCUACGGUGAAUACGUUCCCGGGUCU